GACGAACGCUGGCGGCGUGCUUAACACAUGCAAGUCGAACGGUAAGGCCCUUCGGGGUACACGAGUGGCGAACGGGUGAGUAACACGUGGGUGAUCUGCCCUGCACUUCGGGAUAAGCCUGGGAAACUGGGUCUAAUACCGGAUAGGACCACUGCCUGCAUGGGUGGUGGUGGAAAGCUUUUGCGGUGUGGGAUGGGCCCGCGACCUAUCAGCUUGUUGGUGGGGUGAUGGCCUACCAAGGCGACGACGGGUAGCCGGCCUGGGAGGGGGACCGGCCACACUGGGACUGAGAUACGGCCCAGACUCGUACGGGAGGCAGCAGUGGGGAAUAUUGCACAAUGGGCGAAAGCCUGAUGCAGCGACGCCGCGUGAGGGAUGACGGCCUUCGGGUUGUAAACCUCUUUCAGCACCGACGAAGCGCAAGUGACGGUAGGUGCAGAAGAAGGACCGGCCAACUACGUGCCAGCCGCCGCAGUAA
rnacentral:rRNA from 1 species